UACGUAGGGUGCGAGCGUUGUCCGGAAUUAUUGGGCGUAAAGAGCUCGUAGGCGGUCUGUCGCGUCUGCUGUGAAAACCUAGGGCUUAACUCUGGGCGUGCAGUGGGUACGGGCAGGCUAGAGUGCGGUAGGGGAGACUGGAAUUCCUGGUGUAGCGGUGAAAUGCGCAGAUAUCAGGAGGAACACCGGUGGCGAAGGCGGGUCUCUGGGCCGUAACUGACACUGAGGAGCGAAAGCAUGGGGAGCGAACAGG
rnacentral:rRNA from 1 species